rnacentral:rRNA from 1 species
UACGUAGGGUGCAAGCGUUGCUCGGAAUCAUUGGGCGUAAAGAGUAGGUAGGUGGAAUCGUAAGUCAGGCGUGAAAGCCUGGGGCUCAACCCCAGAAGUGCGCUUGAUACUGCAAUUCUAGAUUUCGGAAGAGGGGAACAGAAUUCCUAGUGUAGGGGUAAAAUCCGUAGAUAUUAGGAGGAAUACCAGAGGCGAAGGCGGUUCCCUAGGCCGACAAUGACACUGAGCUACGAAAGCGUGGGUAGCAAACAGG